AAGGAUAUCUGAGGUUUUGUUGGGUUACCUUCUGGACUUUUGGGAUUGUUGAGGUUAUAUUAUGUUAGUUCCUAAAAUUCCACCACUUUACAUGGUAUACCAUGCUAUCAGUUCUAGAAUUUGAGUAAUUUGAAGGAUUUGUCAAGUCAGAUCACAACGAA